rnacentral:rRNA from 1 species
UGAGACACGGUCCAAACUCCUACGGGAGGCAGCAGUGAGGAAUAUUGGUCAAUGGGCGAGAGCCUGAACCAGCCAAGUAGCGUGCAGGAAGACGGCCCUAUGGGUUGUAAACUGCUUUUAUAAGGGAAUAAAGUGAGUCUCGUGAGACUUUUUGCAUGUACCUUAUGAAUAAGGACCGGCUAAUUCCGUGCCAGCAGCCGCGGUAAUACGGAAGGUCCGGGCGUUAUCCGGAUUUAUUGGGUUUAAAGGGAGCGUAGGCCGGAGAUUAAGCGUGUUGUGAAAUGUAGACGCUCAACGUCUGCACUGCAGCGCGAACUGGUUUCCUUGAGUACGCACAAAGUGGGCGGAAUUCGUGGUGUAGCGGUGAAAUGCUUAGAUAUCACGAAGAACUCCGAUUGCGAAGGCAGCUCACUGGACUGCAACUGACACUGAUGCUCGAAAGUGUGGGUAUCAAACAGGAUUAGAUACCCUGGUAGUCCACACAGUAAACGAUGAAUACUCGCUGUUUGCGAUAUACAGUAAGCGGCCAAGCGAAAGCGUUAAGUAUUCCACCUGGGGAGUACGCCGGCAACGGUGAAACUCAAAGGAAUUGACGGGGGCCCGCACAAGCGGAGGAACAUGUGGUUUAAUUCGAUGAUACGCGAGGAACCUUACCCGGGCUUGAAUUGCAGAGGAAGGAUUUGGAGACAAUGACGCCCUUCGGGGCCUCUGUGAAGGUGCUGCAUGGUUGUCGUCAGCUCGUGCCGUGAGGUGUCGGCUUAAGUGCCAUAACGAGCGCAACCCCUCUCCUUAGUUGCCAUCAGGUCAAGCUGGGCACUCUGGGGACACUGCCACCGUAAGGUGUGAGGAAGGUGGGGAUGACGUCAAAUCAGCACGGCCCUUACGUCCGGGGCUACACACGUGUUACAAUGGGGGGUACAGAGGGCCGCUACCACGCGAGUGGAUGCCAAUCCCCAAAACCUCUCUCAGUUCGGACUGGAGUCUGCAACCCGACUCCACGAAGCUGGAUUCGCUAGUAAUCGCGCAUCAGCCAUGGCGCGGUGAAUACGUUCCCGGGCCUUGUACACACCGCCCGUCAAGCCAUGAAAGCCGGGGGUACCUGAAGUGCGUAACCGCAAGGAGCGCCCUAGGGUAAAACUGGUGACUGGGGCUAAGUCGUAACAAGGUAGCCGUACCGGAAGGUGCGGCUG